UCUAAUUAAUAAAAUAAAACACUGGUAAUAAAUUUAGACGGUCAAAGUAUUUUUGGAAAUAAAAUAAACUCGUUGCGUACGUCAUUGACAACAACAAUAGUGAGAUUUCCGCAAUUAACCGCCGAUCGAUGAUAACCAAGUAAAAAAAAAAAACAAUAAUCGCGCGUCAAACUAGAAAUGUGCAGCACGUCCUUCGGCGACGUUUGAUCGUUUCGUUAUAGUUUACAUAAGAAUGCGUAAAAAGCCGGGCGACACACAUGACAUUGAGCGUCGCGUGGUCAUCUUCAAAAAUAGAGUCCAAAAGAAUUUUCUUGGAAAAUUACACGUCUUUGGACGAGUCAAGGUCGUUAACAGCGCUGCGCCACUGUAGUGCGACCAAUAUAAUACUAUUAUUGUUCUAAAGGUCGGUGCGGACAUUUUUGUGCGUUUUAAAAAUAAUAUUUCGUCUAUUCAAGAAUGAACUGCUCUACUCGUUUUACUAAAUACGCUAUACGAGGAGCCUGUGCUGGCACAUUUUGACCUGCACUUUUUAAGAUACCGCAAAACCGUAGAGGUUUUAUGAAGAGAUCCUCAGAGUGGCGUAAACAAAAAAAUUAACAAGUCGGUCAUAGUAAAAAAAGUACAACGAUCUCAUUAAUAUUUUAACCGUUAGGUUGAUGGAUGUCAUCUCCCCAGUGAGCGACCCAUCCUGAAGCUCUCAAUGUACGCACCGUUUACCGCCCACGUUCAACGACAUUUUCUCUGUACUACCAAAAAAAUAUAUACAGCCUACACGUGCAUAUUAAUAUAUUUUUUACAAGUUUCCUCCACUAGCCCGUUUGCGUCUAUUCAAUAUUUUAUGCAAAUUCACACGACACUCGCAACAGUCUGUGUUAAGUUUAACAUUGUUUGUUGUACACCAAUGUGGUUGUUUUUUAUUUGUUCGUUACAUGAUUAAAUACACUCGUUGUAACUCAAAAAUGUUGAAGUGGUGUAGAUCACGUGGGUAGUUGCUGUGACGGCCAUCUAAUAAGUUAAACGGACGAGCAAAAUUAAAAAUACCUGAUAACAGUCGCCUAAGCUCAUUGAUCGGGCAGGUCGUAUCCUAAAAAACUAAAUUGCGUACUCUUUAUAGUAAUAUUAUGCACAAUAACAGUAUGGAUGUUUGUUUGUGUUUCUUAGUGUUUUGAUCGGAGAGGUCAAUCUGAUUUGUACGACCUCUGAAUGUAAUUUUAUCCAUUUUUUAAGUAACCUAAAGAAAAUAUUGCAAGUCGACAUAAUAAUAAGAGAUAAUAAUAAAUUAUAUAAUUUUAAAUGAGCACGUGUGCUACAUACAUUUUGCAACUGGCGGUUUGAGAAACAGUGAUACUUUUACUAUUUACAAAACAAAUUAAUUAAAAACCUGUUUAACCUUCUAAAUGACUCUAGUUAACAUGAUGAAGUGCAGUAUCGACAACUCGAAGUUCAAGGAACAAGAAAAAACAAAUCGAGUUACUGAGAAUUUACGGACAUAAUUGUAACGAUUUUAAACUGCAAUCAAAGUCAAGGAAAAUAUGCUGUGCUCGCCAUAUGUCCUGUCAAGACCUAACGGCUAACAUUACCAUCACCUGCAUGUCAUGUCGAAGCGGAUAUAUAGCAGAGAAAAACCUAAUGAACUGGUGUCGGUUCGUCUGCUGCUAUAAUUUUUUAUAUCAACAACACAAAUGCAUUGAAAAGGCGGCUCACAUUUAUAACUCGCUUGUGUUUGCAUUCAGUUAAUCGAUUAUUUAUACAAGUUUAAUUAUAUAUACUCAAUGACCAGGUACAAAACUUAUUUAGUUUAUAGGUUAGUGUUUUUUUUUUUUAUUACAGCACUACACAAAAGUAAAAUUAUCAAUUUUAGCAAACCACUUAAUAUUUUAUACUUCAAGGGAUCCAAUUGAUUUGUUCUGCGAAAGGCAGAAUUAUUGUUUUUUUUUUUUUAAUAAUAAAUUUUAGCCUUGACUAGACAAUUGACUUUAUUUAUAAAUUGUAUACACACAAACUUUUCAUAAAGUCAUCACUUUGUACAUAAAUAAUCGUAUUAUUUUUAUUCUGUCAAGUAUUACAGUCUUUAUACGACUCCUACGCCUGAGAAAGAACGGAAUUCACUUCAUUUUGAAGUUGUUGUCGAGACCCACGCCAAUACGUUUUCAAAAAUAGUGAAACGCCAUUAAUCGUUCUAAAAAUGUUUAUUGUGUUUCUAGGUCAGUGGAGACCCCUUUACGUCAAUGCGAAAUUCCGAAUUUGCAUGUGUUUACAACGGCUGCACUCUUUGAACAGUUCCGUUUGUCAUAAACUCGGCGAUAUCAAUUUGACACCAAAAUAAUAAUAACGAAUUGUUUUUUGGACUAAAUAAACUCUAUAGAGAAUUGAUGGCAAUGAUUUAAAUGUGAUGUAUUAUUCAGUCGUACCAUCUCACGAGUGCCGCCAAUUAAUAAAUUAUAAAAAUGAUGCAGAGGAAAAAAAUGUUGUGGAGGGCAGCAACACAUUAGCAACCGGGCGCCAAAUUUCUGAUUGCAUCUCUGGCAAUAUCAAAAAUGUUUAAAGAGUUGCUCAAAGCAAAUCCUUACUAAUGUUAUUAUUAUAAAAUAAAAUUUUAAGGGACUGUAAUUUGUAUGAAUUGAAGUCCAAAUGCGUUGUACUGAAUUUUUCUUGGCACGUACAUGUUUUUAAUAACUUACUGGAGUAUUUAAUAAUUAUUUAUGCAUUUCGUUUAAAAAAAAAAAUUUUUUAAA